ensembl:lncRNA MTHFD2P1 methylenetetrahydrofolate dehydrogenase (NADP+ dependent) 2, methenyltetrahydrofolate cyclohydrolase pseudogene 1
AUGUCUUUGAUGUAAGUCAUGAUAGUACAUCUUUAAUGACAGUUUUCAUGAUGAUGCUUUUGGCUCAACCCAUAGACUAAUCCAGCGAUGAAAGUUACAGCUAUCAUGUUUAUGUCUUCUGCUUUUAAUGAGACUCAUGUGUCCAGAAAUGCUAUCUCUGAAAUAUUCACUGGGUCUUAAGAAACAUUUGGAAAUAUUUCAUUGAGGAACAGCAGUCUUGCUGUCCUCUUUUAUUUACCUCGUCUGAUGUUACUAUUAGAGUAUCUCACCUUUCAAUAAUUAUGGUCAGAUGUGUCAUGUUUUUCAUUUCCUCUGAGUUCAGUAGCCAUGUUUUACCAUGGAUUGGUCUAUACAUUUUAUAGUCUUGGAAACUGGAAAACCAUCUCAGUUAGCUUUUUGUGACAUUCAAGAAAAGUAUUUAUUCUAAUCUAUUCUCAAACUACAAAUAGGCUUUUCCCUCUCCCCUCACCCAAUCGUGGAUGAAGCAAGCUCACUUGGAUGGAAUUGCUUGCUCUCUUCCUUCUCAUUCAAGAAACCUUCUGAAAAUUCAUUUCUUCAUUGUGGUGGAACAACUCCAAUUUCCUGGAUAUUAUUGGAGACGGGGUUUCACUGUGUUAGCCAGGAUGGUCUUGAUUUCCUGACCUCAUGAUCCACCUGCCUCGGCCUCCCAAAGUGCUGGGAUUACAGGCGUGAGCCACCGCUCCUGGCCUGACAGAGAAAUUCAACCCCAGGCCUGGCACAGUGGCUCACACCUGUAAUCACAGCACUUUGGGAGGCCAAGGCAGGUGGAUCAUGAUGUCAAGAGAUCGAAACAAUCCUGGCCAACAUGGUGAAACCACGUUCCUGCUAAAAAUACAAAAAUUAGCUGGGCUUGGUGGUGUGAGCCUGUAGUCCCAGCUACUCGAGAGGCUGAGGCUGGAGAAUCGCUUGAACCCGGGAGGCAGAGGUUGCAGUGAGCUGAGAUCGCACCAUUGCACUCCAGCCUGGCGACCGAGCGGGACUCCGUCUCAAAAAAAAAAAAAAAAAAAAAACAAAAAAAGAAAGAAAUGUAACUCCAGCCUCUGAUGAAAAACGGAUCGGAACCAAGAUGGCCAAAUAGGAACAGCUCCGGUCUACAGCUCUCAGCAUGAGGGACGCAGAAGACAGGUGAUUUCUGCAUUUCCAUCUGAGGCAUAGGCUAUGGCUGUGGCUUCCCUCAUGUCUGCGUUGGCUGCCCAACUGCUCUGUCCCCCGCAGAGCUGCCGCCCGCGCUCUCGCACCUUCCACAGCACGGCAUUUUGGAAUCACCAGUGAGACAAUUGUGAAACCAGCUUCAAUUUCUGAGGAAGAAUUGUUGAAGUUAAUAAAUAAACUGAGUAAUGUUGAUAAUUAGAUAAUUAGAUGGCCACCUUGUUCAGCUGCCUCUUCCAGAGCACACUGAUGAGAGAAAGAUCUGCAAUGCUUUUUCUCCAGACAAGGAUGUUGAUGGCUUUCCUGUAAUGAAUGUAGGACGAAAGUGUUUGGACCAAUAUUCCAUGUUACCGGCUACCCCAUGGGGUGUGUGGGAAAUAAUUAAGCGAACUGACAUUCCAACCCUAGGGAAGAAUGUGGUUGUGACUGGAAGGUCAAAAAUUGUUGGAAUGCCCAUUGUAAUGUCACUGCACAUACGUGGGGUGCAUGAACGUCCCAGAGAUGAUGCCACCGUUAGAAUAUCUCAUGGAUAUACUCCCAAAGAGCAGUUGAAGAAACAAAAUAUUUGCAGAUAUUGUAACAUCCGCUGCACGAAUUCUAAACCUGUUCACAAUAGAUAUAAUCAAGGAAAGAACAGCAGUUGUUGAUGUGGGAAUAACUAGAGUUCAAGAUCCCGUAACUGCUCAACCCAAAUUGGUUGGAGACGUGGGUUUUGAAGGAGUCAGAUAAAAAGCCGGUUACAUCAUGCCACUUCCUGGAGGUGUUGGCCUCAUGACGGUGGCGAUGCUAAUGAAGAAUACCAUUACUGUUGCAAAAAAGUUCUGAGGCUUGAAGAACAGUAAGUGCUGACGUCUAAAGAGCUUGGAGUAGCCACUAAUGAACUAUUGUGUCUUCUAUGUCACAAACAGCACUCCAAGCCAGCUCAAGAAGCAAAGCAGGCCAAUAGAAAGACAAUAUUUUUUAUUUAUUCUACUGAAGUGGUUUAAAAUGAUGCUUUGUAUUUAUUGAAAGCUUAAAUUGGAGGGUGUUUGUGCACAAUAGCUCUGCAGUACCUCACCAGGGAGCAUUCCACUAUGCAGGGGCGUGUAUCUAGCUAACAGCAGCCAUUAACCCAGUGAUGAACCUGGGAGACAUUUGUCAUAUUGAGAUGGAUAUUUAACUCUGUCAAACCACCUCGGUUGAAUAUUUGCCUUCAUUAGGACUGCGUUUCCCAAAUGCUAUUUCAAUAAGAGUUGAUACUCAUUUUAGGCACCAAAACUUUUGGAUUCAACUGAUCAAACCAAAGGAAAAGUGUUGCUAGACAAAAUUAGGGAAAAGGUGAAAGAGGAAAAUAUGGUAGUAAUCGAGUAGAAAAAAAUUCCUCUAAUUUAUAUAUGCAUUGAUUAGUAACCAGAUUUAUCUAAGUAGGACUGAAUUGGCUAGGAU